rnacentral:rRNA from 1 species
UACGUAGGGUGCGAGCGUUAAUCGGAAUUACUGGGCGUAAAGCGUCCGCAGGUGGCAGUUCAAGUCUGCUGUCAAAGACCGGGGCUUAACUUCGGAAAGGCAGUGGAAACUGAACAGCUAGAGUAUGGUAGGGGCAGAGGGAAUUCCCGGUGUAGCGGUGAAAUGCGUAGAGAUCAGGAAGAACAUCGGUGGCGAAGGCGCUCUGCUGGACCAUAACUGACACUCAGGGACGAAAGCUAGGGGAGCGAAUGGG